rnacentral:lncRNA from 1 species
UACACAAACAUUUCCAUUCCAAUUCCAAUUCCAAAUUAUAUUUCAAUUCAAGCUUUACAACAUUACAUAAAAUCUACAAUUACAAAUCCAAUUAAUUCCAAAACAAUUCAAGCAUUCCAAAGUCCAACAAUCAUCCAAGCAACUACAAGCCAAUGCCCAUUCAAAGCCAAGCAAAUACAAAAUCCAUAGCUUCAUAGCCAAUUCCAAGCAAGCUCCUUAACACUAAAAACCAUUAACGUGCAAAUGAAACACACAAUUCAGAACCAUUUUUUUUCCAUUAAUAAUUACGCUUAACACUUCAUUCUCUUCUAACUCCCAAUUCAAUAACCUCUUAACUACUUCCACAAAAACAUAAUAGAACUUAUAACCUCCUAACAAUCUUCUUCAAACCAAAGGAAAUUCUAGCAGAAUUUCAACAAACAAAACCAACAAUUCUCAACAGAAUUUCAUCACUCCAAAAUUUCAUCAACUCUUCUUAACUGCUUCUCUAGAAAACUCUCUCAACCAUCAUCCAUUGAAACCAACACAAACCAAGUGAAGCUAACUGAUGAAUUCAAAUGCAUCAUGACCUGCACAUACAUCAGAAACAAAACUUUGUCAACAUCCUGCAUAAUCAGAGCAACAAACAUUGCCCUGCAGAAUUUAAAAGCAACUAAGAUGCCUGCAUUUUCGGGUGGCAGCAUACCAAGUGUGAGUUCCACCAUAAGCCAUGCAAAUGCAAUGUACAGAAUAAGGGAAUUUUUACAAAAAUAACCCACUUUUUCAAGGAAAUUCCCAAAAUACCCCUAGUUUCAAAAAAAAUCCUAAACUACCCCACUUUUAGGAGGAGUCGCCAAUUGAAUUGGAGACUCCUCUUAAAAAUUGAAUGGAGGCGCCAAUUGGAUUGACUAGGGCAGGUGCCCUAGCCAAUCCAAUUGGCGCCCCUGUGUAGGGUUUAAGAGGAGGCACCAAUUGGAUUGACUAGGGCAGGUGCCCUAGCCAAUCCAAUUGGCGCCCCUGUGUAGGGUUUAAGAGGAGGCGCCAAUUUAAUUGGAGACUCCUCUUAAAAUGCAAUUUUUUUGGUAAAUGGUAUACAUGAUAGAUAAAUUUGAUAUAGGACCAAUUGAUAUUAAUAAAAUUUGCCGUUUACACAAAGAAACCUAAUGGUGAUGACCGGGAUCACCUAAAUGACCUCCGCUCCCACAUCCUCUAGCUACCCUAACCCGUGGCCCUAACCCAUGUUGACGAUUCUGUACCGGUGUUUGAGCAUCCGAGGGGCCAGGAGCGUCACUACCAACUAUAGGAGAAGGUCUGUUGAGGUAGUCAGACAAGUCGACAUAGUCUUCAGUAUGCAUCGAUGGUGUACCGCCGUAGCUGAGCUCAUGACCUAUGCCAAAGAAGUUGGGAUGUGGUUGACUCAUUGAUGGGCGACCGGGACGGUUGAAGGGAGACAUGGGUGUGAACGAUGCAUUGAGGAAAGGUUGUUGGGGUGUUUGGUAGAGAUAGGGUUGUUGGAUGUUUUGGUUUUGUGAGGUUUGGGCUUCUUGGCUACGGUAGGAGGAGGGGCGGUUGGUGUUGAAUGAUCGUUGGAUGUUCUGGCUUAGGCGACUUUGGUAGGGUGAUGGGGUGGGUGCGAAGCGAUGUUGAGUCUCAGGUUGAUGGUCAAUUUGUUGGUGGUGGUAUGGGGUAUGCUCUUGGUAUUGGGGUUGGGUGUAUGGAAUGUUUUGGUUGUAUAUUUGUGUGUUGGUUGAACAGAACGUUUGACGGACAGGGGGUUGUGUGUAUCCGGUCUGACACUGUUGUUGGGGGUUUGAUGUUGAGGUGUCAGGUAUGUAAGUCAUCUGACGUGGGUUGUACAAGUACAUAUCCUCGACGAUGAACUGAAAACCAACCGAUCUGUACCAAGCCAUAUAAGUACGACUUGGUUUUUCUUCAGUUGGCAUGACUGCGUCAGUUAACACAUGAUCAUGACGGUGCUUCCAUUUGCAACACUCCGAUCUUGCGAAGCUUUGCCAUGGAUUGAAGUUCCAUUGGUCGUUAACUUUGCGCAUAUGCCAUUCUCCUAGGCUAGCUGGAGGAUCUGGGAUAUUUUGGGGCAUACCGAACUGUAGCUUCACACGAUCACUAUUGUGCAUCUCCACAGUUGUGAACCGUAUUAUCCGUGUGCAUGCAGUCCAUACGGUCGCGUCUUCGGCAUUGACCUUAUGGUCAUGAUCCAAAUUAAGGUAUGGACGCCAAAUGAAUUGAAAUGUGAAAGAAGAUUGGAUUAUAGUCAAGGUAGAAGAAGUUAACAAAAUAUAACGAAAUAAUUAAGUUAUUUUCCUUACGUCUGUCGGUCGAAGGUGAUCCAACAGGUUGCGAUACUGAGUAAUACAAUGUCACUUGGACAUCUGUUGUAACUCAUACCACGUGCAGACCAUCUACACCAAAAAGUCAAAAAAUAUUAGUUAGAGGUAAUAAUCUUUAAAGAAGUAAGUAAAGAUAUAACAAUUUAAACAACUUACUUUUAUGCAUACGGAAAUGUGAAAGAGUUGUUAUUGACGGGUGCUAGAGACGGUAGUCUUGACCAACCUCAUGCUUGUAGCAAAACAAUACAUCCAGAAAAUGUAUAUGUGUCUUUGUGUGAGUUUUUGCACAAGAAGCUAUAGAGAUAGGCUAGACAAGCAGAUCCCUAACUGUAACUUCCUAUUCUAUCUACAUGUCUAAGUAGAGGUAAAUACAUGAUAUGCAUGCUAAAACCACUACCUUCGGUAAAUAAAAACGAGCCAAUUAACAGCAUAAUGUAACACCUAGUUUUUAUUAUUCGAGCAUCUUCGGUAAAAUGCUCAUCUAAGUAUAAACUAUUAUAGUACGACUUAAGGCGUGAGAGUAGUAUACCUUGACCUCUUGCGUUAUCAUCUAACAAAUCAGUCUCCAAGAGAUCCAUGCAAAUUGAAUUUGCAUAGUUGGUUUUACCAUUAACAUCCUUACCUUCAAUGGGUAGUCCCAAAAGCAUGUAGACGUCUUCUAACGUCACGGUACACUCACCGGUUGGGAACCAAAAUGUGUGUGUCUCUGGUCUCCAUCUUUCGCAUAAAGCUAGAAUGAAUUUUUACUAUGGACCAAGACAAACUUGCUUAUAUGACCAAACCGGCGAGUUCAACAUAAGGUUGAAUCAUCGAUCCAUAUGGACAAUUCGUGGACCCGAGUUCGGAACCUUGAUACAUCUAUAAAAGAAAGAACAAAAAACUUGAAAUAAGUGUAUUUAAAUAAAAGGGGGUUGGUGAAGAUGAAAGAUAAAAAGUUAACAAAAGAAAAACUUACAUAUGUUGCGAUGUUUGCACCGUUCUCUAUGUGAUUCGUCCAUUGUGAGGAUGGACAUUUUGUCAGGGGUUGGUGUAGAUGUAACUACAAGAAGUUUGUGCAGAUGAAAUUGUAGAUGAAGUAUGUGAAGAAGUAUGAGAGUGAUGGUGUGGAAGAAGUGUUAUGGAGUGAUGUAUUUAUAGGCAAAUGGAUGGGAGCAUGAAAGUUGUGCUUGCAUGGUGUCUCCACUUGAAUUGGCGACCAUGUACAACCUUUAAGAGGGGUCGCCAUUCAAAUGGCGCUCCAUAGGGACAUGCAUGCAAGACUAGGUCUGAUUGCUUGGUUUCGAGCCUGAAUGCAUGCUUUGACAAGGUGUCUCCACUUGAAUUGGCGCCAUGUGCAAGGAUGGUGGGGACGCCAAUUCAUUUGGAGUGUGUGUCUGCAUGUCUGACAUGUGGCUGUCCUCUCUCUUGCAUGCUGAACAUGUCACUUCUUAGUAGCUGCAUGUUGACAUCAUUUCGGAGUAGCUUGCAUGUGGCGACACGUCACUUCGGAGUGGCUUGCAUAUGCGACACAUCACUUUAAACUAGCUAGCAUGUGGAUACUUCACCCUCUAUUUAAGUGUCUUACUAUCAACAUCCAGACACUUCACUCACAUUCAUCUGCAGUAAGAAAAUAGUUUUCAUCUGCACAUGUCAUCUCAUCAUUAUACAGUGUCAACGUUCACUGCAACGGUGACAUACGAGUCUGAGCUAUAUGGUUUUUUGUUUUCGAAACACUGAUACAUUACACUCCACAAUAAAGAGAAUGCAACCUUCUUGCAUUGAAAAAAGAAUACCAUCCUGUAUAGGAUCAGGUAUUGUGUCAAAGAUCACAUAUCAAAUCCAAAUUUUUUUAGAAUAGUCAAUGCAGUAUUUCCCUAAGGUACGAGACGAUGAGAUGUUGAAACAUGUUUGUUAGUCCAUGAACAUUCAGGCUGCAACUGUAUUGAGUUGUACAUUACUCUUCAACCAUGUAUACCAUCUCAACAGUCUCAACUAACCAGUCAGGAUGAAUCUGGUGAAGAUGAUCCAUAAUGGUCAGAUGAUGUUAACCCAGAAGCAGAAGCAGAAGUGGACGUCGUUGAUGAAGAAGAAGAGGAGACCGAGAUACAGGUUGAUCACAUGUUGAACAACGACGAGGAAGAUGAUGAUCAACCACCACCAAUACCUCAUAGUCAUGUCUACAAUCUGCCUUAACAUAUGACAAAUAUGGAUCUUCACGAUGAUGAAACAUCCAACAGUGUUUUCUAUAAUCCGUAUCCGAGAUCAGAAGGCGAAUUAAAGGUGGGAGACAUGUUUCAUACCAAAGAAGAAUGUGUUCUGGCUAUCAAAAAAUUCCACAUGAACAACUCUGCUGAUUUUACAGUGAAAUGCAUUGAUUCUAGAAGGUAUGUUAUUGAAUGUCGUAACAUGCUUUGUAAGUUUCGUUUGGCUGCGUCUUACAAGAAGAAAAACAACUCUUGGGAGAUUGCUUCAAUAAACCCACCUCACAGUUGCAUUGCAACUAGCGUUGAACAAGAUCACCGUAAACUAAGCACAUCGUUGAUAUGUCAAGACAUUCUGCCGUUGGUUAAUAAAGACCCAUCAGUGAAGGUGAGUAUAAUUAUAUCCCAUAUCAGAUCAACAUAUAAUUAUACUCCAUCUUACAAGAAAGCCUGGAUUGCAAGGAUAAAGGCCGUUGAACAAGUUUUCGGCAACUGGGAGGAUUCAUACAAGGAAUUGCCACGGUUUUUAUGGGCACUAAAAACAUAUGUCCCAAGAACUGUGGCAAUUAUGGAGACAUUGCCAGCGAUGAUGCCAGACAGAACCUGUGCUACAGGUAAUAGAAUCUUUCACCGUCUCUUUUGGGCAUUAUUUAUGGGCACUAAAAACAUAUGUCCCAAGAACUGUGGCAAUUAUGGAGACAUUGCCAGCGAUGAUGCCAGACAGAACCUGUGCUACAGGUAAUAGAAUCUUUCACCGUCUCUUUUGGGCAUUUGACCCGUGCAUCAAAGGUUUCAUAUUCUGCAAACCUAUUAUUUAAAUUGAUGGCACUUGGUUAUACGGAAAAUACAAGGAUACUUUGCUCAUGGCGGUUGCAUAAGACGACAACAACAAUGUCUUUCCCAUUUCCUUUGCUCUUGUUGAAGGUGAAACGGCUGGUGGAUGGGGUUUCUUUUUUCGACAUCUCAGAACGCAUGUGGCUCCACAAGCUAAUCUCUGUUUGAUUUCUGAUAGACAUGCUGCCAUUGAGAGUGCCUAUAACAACCAUGACAACGGAUGGCAUGAUCCUCCUUCUACCCAUGUCUACUGUAUCAGACACAUUGCCCAAAACUUCAUGUGUACUAUAAAAGAUAAGAAUCUUCGCAAGAAGGUGGUGAAUGUUGGGUAUGCUCUAACUCAGCCGUCAUUUCAAUAUUAUCGUGAUGAAAUUAGACUGUCUAAUGAAGACGUAUGGAGAUGGCUAAAUAACAUACCAGUAGAGCAGUGGACAAUGGCAUUUGAAAGAGGUUGUCGAUGGGGCCACAUGACAACAAACAUUGUGGAAUGCAUGAACGGGGUAUUCAAAGGAAUUAGAAAUCUGCCGAUAACCGCCUUGGUAAGAUCAACCUAUUAUAGGUUGGCUUCUACGUUCGCAACCAGAGGUGAAAGAUUGAGUGUGGUGUUAAUGUCCGGGAAAGUAUUCAGUGAGUGUUGCAUGAAGGUCAUGAGAGAGGAGAGCAUCAAAGCUAGCACACACGCUGUAACAGUCUUUGACCGUCAUAGGAAAAAUUUCAACGUCCAGGAAAUAAUGGACCACAACAAGGGGAGACCAAAUUUAGCAUACGCUGUUAGACUAAACAGAAGUUGGUGUGAUUGUGGAAAAUACGGGGCCUUCCGCAUACCUUGCUCCCAUGUCAUUGCAGCAUGCACUUAUACUCGUCAAGAUGCUUACAACCAUUUAUCUGAUGUGUACAAGGCAACACCAUCAUGAAUGUAUAUAAUCAAAGCUUCUCAAUACUACCAAUGGAGGAUUAUUGGCCUCCAUAUGAAAGUGAUAUUGUUUGGCACCAUGACGAGAUGUGUAGAAAGAAAAAAGGAAGGCCAAACAGCACACAUAUCAGAACAGAGAUGGAUUCCACAUAUAAAAUGAUAAGAUUAUGUAGUAUCUGUCGUCAACCAGGACACAACAAGAACAACUGUCCCAAUCGAGGAUCAUCAUCUAGGUCUUAAGAUUUUUGUAACAUUGUAUUUCUGUAACCUUCAAUCAUUAUAUAUCAUUAAGUUUUUGUUACAUAGAGGUUCACAACAAACAUCAAUACAAAAUAAGCUAUCUGAAAACAGAAAUAUUUCUAACUGAUUACAACAAUCAAAUUGAUGUCGUCUCGACCGAACAUCAUUUCCCUAGCAUCCUUAUCAGUCUCAAUCCGCAACCAACACAGAUUCUGUCAAGUCUCUCAAUACUUCUAAUUUUCCCCUUCUGGUAUUUUCCCAUCUAACCAACGAACCAACUCCCUCUUCAGUUGAUCGAACAUAGUGAUGUUCCAGAACAGCACCAGCAUCUGAGGUUUGUCUCUCGCAUAAAUCACCUUUCCGUAUCAGCGACAAACACCAAACAUGAUUGAAAAAUGAUUAUAUGAAUGUGGAAUAAUUACUCACACAACACAUCUAUUUAUAAACAAAAAAUUGCAUUUUAGGAGGAGUCUCCGAAUUGAAUUGGCGCCUCUUCUUAAACCUACACAGGGUCGCCAAUUGGCCUGGCUAGGGCACCUGCCCUAGCCAAUCCAAUUGGCGUCUCCAUUCAAUUUUUAAGAGGAGUCUCCAAUUCAAUUGGCGACUCCUCCUAAAAGUGAGGUAGUUUGGGAUUUUUUUUGAAACCAGGGGUAUUUUGGGAAUUUCCUUGGAAAAGUGGGUUAUUUUCGUAAAAAGUCCCAGAAUAAGACCCUGUUAACUGAAUUGAUCAGAACAACUCAGUUUCACUUAUAACCUCUUUAAUAUAUUUUACAUUUCCAACUAAUUGUGAUUCUCAUUGUAUUUGGAGUGCAUUUCAGUUGCAACUCAUAACAGAAAAUGAAGCCUAUAAAUAACUCACUCCUCUUUAUUCAUAUAGUUACACAGAAGCAUACACACUUUGACUCUAAAAGUUUUCAGAUUUCGAUCUCUCUGAAUCUCAAUCAUUUUCCUCACUCAGAGCUCAUUUUCGAGACUCAAUUGAAGCUUCACAUUGAAACUUUAAUAAGAGUGAGUUGAGCCACUCUUUUCCUGCCUCACAAAACCGAUUCUGAAUCACAAAAAGGUAGAAAAAGAGGUGUAUAUCGAAGAAAGAAUCACGAUUGUGAAUAUACCUGUGCUUCAAGUGAUUUUCCUAUGCGUAUUCAUCUUCUCUGAUCAACACUUGCCGAAACAUUUCUUCGUUUCGGAGGUAGGUCACUUCUUCCCCGUUUCCCAUGAAUCUUAUUACCAUUGCGUAGUAGACUUCAUUUGCAUCAGAAACCCCUUCAUUUGAAUGCAAAUCUUUGUCUAUUUGUCAUUUAAUUUGACUUAGGAAGAUUAGGGUUCGUGGCUGUUUACGUUCAAUUUGCUUGAUUCGUGAAUCUUUGGGUUUUUUCAUGGUGAUAUUCAGACUCAGGGUACGGAAUAGGGUAAGGUCAUGGUUUUUAAUCAAGGAGCUAUGGUUGCUCCGCCGCCGGAGAGGCCUCCGACAUGGCGGAGGGAGCAAUGAAAAU